AAACAGACAUGAGCUAAAAGCCUGUCCUGCCCCUUGUUCCAUAUUCCAGGUGCUCUCCAAGUCCUUGGCGAGCUGUUUAGGUAGCAGGCUCUAUAAUGGCUUUCAAAGUAAUGGGGCAGCGAUGCAGGGAGAGUGAAGAAACUUGCCAGACAGAAAAGGCGGACUUUGUCCUAACCUACGUUUCUGAAAACUCAACCAGAAAGAAGACGGGAGGCAGGCAGCACGUCUGAUGGGUCCCUUGGGAGCCAUAAACAUCCAAUUCAACCUUGUGUGCCCGAAAUGACCAGGCCAACUUUGUGGAAGGGGUGAGUCAUGGCUGACAAGCUUUGCAGGCCUCCACAG